UACGGGGGGAGCAAGCGUUGUUCGGAUUUACUGGGCGUAAAGGGCGCGUAGGCGGUCAGCACAAGUCAGUUGUGAAAUCUCCGGGCUUAACUCGGAAAGGUCAACUGAUACUGUGCGACUAGAGUGCGGAAGGGGCAACUGGAAUUCUCGGUGUAGCGGUGAAAUGCGUAGAUAUCGAGAGGAACACCGGUGGCGAAGGCGGGAUCCUGGGCCAGUACUGACGCUGAGGAGCGAAAGCGUGGGGAGCAACAGG
rnacentral:rRNA from 1 species